rnacentral:misc_RNA from 1 species
UUGAGCGAUGGCCAAUGAGGCGAUGAUCGAGAACCGGACAUUCGAUGAAAUCGGGGUCGGCGACACAGCCAGCAUGACUCGGACGCUCCGCGACGAGGACAUCAAGCUGUUCGCGCUCGUCUCCGGCGACGUCAACCCGGCCCAUCUCGACGCCGACUUCGCGGCGACCGACAUGUUCCGCCGCGUGAUCGCGCAUGGAAUGUGGGGCGGCGGCCUGAUAUCCGCGGUGCUCGGCACUGAACUGCCGGGACCUGGCGCCGUCUAUCUCAGCCAGACGCUGCGCUUUAUCCGGCCCGUGGGCUUGGGCGACACGAUCACCGCGAGCGUGACCGUCGCCGAGAAACGGCCCGAGCUCGGGGUGGUUGUAUUCGACUGCCACUGC